rnacentral:lncRNA from 1 species
CAGUGUUCCAGCUAGGUUUUCAAAAGGGCAGGGUGCCAAUCCUGAAAAAGGGCAUUUAACGCGCGAUAUGAUAAUAUGAAAAGGGCAUAUUUUAAUAAAAGAUGUUAAUCAAACAUUUGUGUUUAUUCAUUGAAUCACAGGUUAUACAAGAACAACAUCAGUAGCCCAUAUAGAACUCUAUCUUUCUACUUUUAAGGCUGAAAAACUUGUCAAGCAGCUUGUCACACAAGUUUUUUUAUCAUUGCUUGGCACAGUUGAACUUUAUAAGCAGUAUGUUUUGAAAGGUGACCUGUUUCAUACUGUUUCUAUGGUCUGCCACAUUUUACCAGUUUCACCUUUCUACCCCUGCUGUGCUUAAUGGCAAUACAGCACAAAACAACUGUGCUCAGUAAAUUCACAAUUUUAGGAUAUAAAGCAACAGUGAAAAAUUGUAUCAAAAAUAAAGAAUACAGAAAAAGAUGACCAAGGCACCCUACCAACACUGUUACUAAGACCCUCUUUAACUUUUCCCAUAACUCGAAAUAAAUACCUAAACAUAUAUAUUCUUAAGCAAGAUACAUGUAGACAUAUUUUAGAAUAUGUAAAUGGGUUACUCAAUGCUAGGAAAAAAAAUCAGAUUGAGUUAUCUUUCUUUAUUCGGGUGUGCUCCUUCUUUGGAGGAUUAUAAACAGUACGUAAAUAUGAUGUAAAAUGAUCACAAUAUGGCGGCCGAUUUUGUUAUUUUCGUAUCAAAAAUGAAGGCAGUCAAUGACAAAUACGUCUGAAUUUUCUGUUUAUUUUACAGAAAACAAGAAAAACAAUGUCUUCAACGAGUUUAUUAUGGUUUUCCAACUUACUGUCAUUACGUUUCCUCCAUGAAACUACGGUAAACAUCGCAAAUUGUGCCCAAGUUGUUGUAUGCACAUUUCUUCAAAGAUAAUUGCAGACUGACCGAUUUUAUUUGAAUGAAUUAAUGUUGAUGAUCAUUAAUGACCCAUCCGAUAAACGGAUUACCUAUAACAACAGAUUAUGACACCAGUUGUAACCAUUGAUUAGCUUGGGGUGGUAAACACAGUCAUAAUCUUUUCCCCAG